rnacentral:rRNA from 1 species
GAUGAACGCUGGCGGCGUGCUUAACACAUGCAAGUCGAACGGAAAGGCUCCUGCUUGCAGGGGUACUCGAGUGGCGAACGGGUGAGUAACACGUGGGUGAUCUGCCCUGCACUUCGGGAUAAGCCUGGGAAACUGGGUCUAAUACCGGAUAGGACCACAUUUUGGAUGGUGUGGUGGAAAGUUUUUCGGUGUGGGAUGAGCUCACGGCCUAUCAGCUUGUUGGUGGGGUAAUGGCCUACCAAGGCGUCGACGGGUAGCCGGCCUGAGAGGGUGUACGGCCACAUUGGGACUGAGAUACGGCCCAGACUCCUACGGGAGGCAGCAGUGGGGAAUAUUGCACAAUGGGCGCAAGCCUGAUGCAGCGACGCCGCGUGGGGGAUGACGGCCUUCGGGUUGUAAACUCCUUUCGCUAGGGACGAAGCGCAAGUGACGGUACCUGGAGAAGAAGCACCGGCUAACUACGUG